AGUGCAUAUUAUUAGAACCGGUUAUGCAUCUCAACAACUCAAUCGGUGUCAAAAUAUGCAAAAUAAAAAGCCACAUUUUACUUGUCUUUAUUUUGUAAAAUUACUACCGCCAGCAAUCUAAAGAUUUCUAAUGUUGCAACAACA
ensembl:snoRNA snoRNA:Psi28S-2442b snoRNA:Psi28S-2442b